GACGAACGCUGGCGGCGUGCCUAAUACAUGCAAGUCGAGCGGACUGAAUGGGAGCUUGCUCUUGUUCGGUCAGCGGCGGACGGGUGAGUAACACGUGGGCAACCUGCCCGCAAGACCGGGAUAACUCCGGGAAACCGGAGCUAAUACCGGAUAACACCGAAGACCGCAUGGUCUUUGGUUGAAAGGCGGCGCAAGCUGCCACUUGCGGAUGGGCCCGCGGCGCAUUAGCUAGUUGGUGAGGUAACGGCUCACCAAGGCGACGAUGCGUAGCCGGCCUGAGAGGGUGACCGGCCACACUGGGACUGAGACACGGCCCAGACUCCUACGGGAGGCAGCAGUAGGGAAUCUUCCGCAAUGGGCGAAAGCCUGACGGAGCGACGCCGCGUGAGCGAAGAAGGCCGUCGGGUCGGAAAGCUCUGUUGUGAGGGACGAAGGAGCGCCGUUUGAAGAAGGCGGCGCGGUGACGGUACCUCACGAGGAAGCCCCGGCUAACUACGUG
rnacentral:rRNA from 1 species